ACGCACGCUGGCGGCGUGCUUAACCCAUGCCAGUCGAACGGAAAGGCCCCUUUGGGGGUACUCGAGUGGCGAACGGGUGAGUAACACGUGAGUAACCUGCCCUUGACUUCGGGAUAACUUCAGGAAACUGGGGCUAAUACCGGAUAGGAAUCCUUGCUGCAUGGUGGGGGUUGGAAAGCUUCGGCGGUUUUGGGUGGACUCGCGGCUUAUCAGCUUGUUGGUGGGGUAGUGGCUUACCAAGGCUUUGACGGGUAGCCGGCCUGAGAGGGCGACCGGCCACAUUGGGACUGAGAUACGGCCCAGACUCCUACGGGAGGCAGCAGUGGGGAAUAUUGCACAAUGGGCGGAAGCCUGAUGCAGCAACGCCGCGUGCGGGAGGACGGCCUUCGGGUUGUAAACCGCUUUCAGCAGGGGCGAAGCUUGUGGUGACGGUACCUGCAGAAGAAGCACCGGCUAACUACGUG
rnacentral:rRNA from 1 species